CAACUUCACAUCCAAAUAAGCUAUUACUGUGGAACUAGCACCGUUUUACUCAUAUUAAAUAAAACUUUUAAUUACGUUCUUGAUAUUUUGAAGUUUCCCUGUAUGGGUAAAUAAAUGGUCAGGUUUUGAAAACAUUUAUAGCAAAUUAAAUGGCAAUACCUAAGAACAAUAUUUGGGGACGGUGUGGUCGAGUCUGUAACGUGGCAGUGCUUGAUGCGCACUGCCUAGGAUUUGACACUCGGUCAUAGACAGCUUUAUUUUCUGAACGAGAGAUCACUUCGGUAAUUGGAGUCGCCAUAUCUCUCUCCGGCGACGGACUAACUACCCGUUCCGGAGUAUAAAUGGUUAAGAAACCUCCUCCUUUGGGGGAGGUCGCUAUGGCCAUUAAUGGACUGAUAAAUCAAUAAAAAAAUAUAUAUAGAGAGUGAUUUUUUUAUUAUAACCCACUCAAUUACUUACAGAAUAUUGUAAUGAUAUACAUAGUACAUCAUUUAUAUCAUA